rnacentral:rRNA from 1 species
GAUGAACGCUGGCGGCGUGCUUAACACAUGCAAGUCGAACGAGAAGUGAAGACGGAAACCUUCGGGCUGAAGGCUUUAUUUCGAGUGGCGGACGGGUGAGUAACGCGUUGGUAACCUGCCUCAUACAGGGGGAUAACAGUUGGAAACGACUGUUAAUACCGCAUAAGACCACAGCACCGCAUGGUGCGGGGGUAAAAACUCCGGUGGUAUGAGAUGGACCCGCGUUCGAUUAGCCAGUUGGCGGGGUAACGGCCCACCAAAGCGACGAUCGAUAGCCGAUCUGAGAGGAUGGCCGGACACAUUGGGACUGAGACGCGGCCGAAACUCCUACGGGAGGCAGGGGUGGGGAAUAGUGCACAAUGGGGGAAACCCUGAUGCAGCGACGCCGCGUGAGUGAAGAAGUAUGUCGGUAUGUAAAGCUCUAUCAGCAGGGAAGAAAAUGACGGUACCUGAGUAAGAAGCCCCGGCUAACUACGUG